rnacentral:rRNA from 1 species
GUCCACGCCGUAAACGAUGAUGCCAGCCGUUAGUGGGUUACUCACUAGUGGCGCAGCUAACGCUUUAAGCAUUCCGCCUGGGGAGUACGGUCGCAAGAUUAAAACUCAAAGGAAUUGACGGGGGCCCGCACAAGCGGUGGAGCAUGUGGUUUAAUUCGACGCAACGCGAAGAACCUUACCAGCCCUUGACAUCUCGGUCGCGGAUUCCAGAGACGGAAUCCUUCAGUUCGGCUGGACCGAAGACAGGUGCUGCAUGGCUGUCGU